ensembl:miRNA Gm22617 predicted gene, 22617
UGAGCUGAGCUGAGCUGAGCUGAGCUGAGCUGAGCUGAGCUGAGCUGAGCUGAGCUGAGCUGAGCUGAGCUGAGC